rnacentral:rRNA from 1 species
GUGCCAGCCGCCGCGGUAAUACGUAGGGUGCGAGCGUUGUCCGGAAUUAUUGGGCGUAAAGGGCUCGUAGGCGGUUUGUCGCGUCGGGAGUGAAAACGCCGUGCUUAACACGGCGCUUGCUUUCGAUACGGGCAGACUAGAGGUAUUCAGGGGAGAACGGAAUUCCUGGUGUAGCGGUGAAAUGCGCAGAUAUCAGGAGGAACACCGGUGGCGAAGGCGGUUCUCUGGGAAUGACCUGACGCUGAGGAGCGAAAGUGUGGGGAGCGAACAGGAUUAGAUACCCUGGUAGUCCACACCGUAAACGUUGGGCGCUAGGUGUGGGGUCCAUUCCACGGAUUCCGUGCCGCAGCUAACGCAUUAAGCGCCCCGCCUGGGGAGUACGGCCGCAAGGCUAAAACUCAAAGGAAUUGACGG